AUUGAACGCUGGCGGCAUGCCUUACACAUGCAAGUCGAACGGCAGCACGGGAGCAAUCCUGGUGGCGAGUGGCGAACGGGUGAGUAAUGUAUCGGAACGUACCUUUCAGUGGGGGAUAACGUAGCGAAAGUUAUGCUAAUACCGCAUAUUCUGUGAGCAGGAAAGCAGGGGAUCGCAAGACCUUGCGCUGAUUGAGCGGCCGAUAUCAGAUUAGCUAGUUGGUGAGGUAAAGGCUCACCAAGGCGACGAUCUGUAGCGGGUCUGAGAGGAUGAUCCGCCACACUGGAACUGAGACACGGUCCAGACUCCUACGGGAGGCAGCAGUGGGGAAUUUUGGACAAUGGGCGCAAGCCUGAUCCAGCCAUGCCGCGUGAGUGAAGAAGGCCU
rnacentral:rRNA from 1 species